rnacentral:lncRNA from 1 species
GUUCUUCUCAACCAUCUGUAUGUCUGACUCCUUUGACAAUUCCAGGUGUUGUCGGAGCCCGAUCCUGCAAAUCAUUUCUCCAGGCAGCCCUCACACGUGAGGGAUCCCAGGCAUAGCGAAAAGACUGCGGGUGUGACUGCAAAAAGGGAAGUGGUGGAAAGAAAGGAGCCCUUGGCUUGAGUGACAGUCUCAUGAGACAGCAUCACGAAAGAAUCUAUCCAUCUCAACACUACCAAACUGCAAAUUCUCCGAAGUCCUUCAUAUAUGUCCAAAUACAGAGAGAUAACAAGUGGAUAUAUAAACAGGAGCACCAGUUUCAUGUUAGGAAUUAA